UGGGAACGACGAACAUAUGAGAUCAAGGAUAAAUGGUGUGCUGAGAAUCCGUUUGAGAUUUUUGCACAAAAUAUGCGGGAUAACUUUCCUGCUAAUGGGAUACAGGAUGGCAGGCAGAAGGUGAGGAGGUUGUGAUGAUUAGAUGCAGCAUUUCCUCUCUUGCUGUACAUACCUUUCCGGCCUUUUCAACUAGUCAGCAUUAAUGGAGUUUUUCUACCGUGGCAAAAAGAUAUAGGAGUUACGAGCCUGGACAUUGUUCACUGUGGGGGAACAUGCACGGAUGGAAACUGGGCGGAGCGUUUGAUUUAUU
rnacentral:snoRNA from 1 species